rnacentral:rRNA from 1 species
AUUGAACGCUGGCGGCAUGCCUUACACAUGCAAGUCGAACGGCAGCACGGGUGCUUGCACCUGGUGGCGAGUGGCGAACGGGUGAGUAAUACAUCGGAACAUGUCCUGUAGUGGGGGAUAGCCCGGCGAAAGCCGGAUUAAUACCGCAUACGAUCUACGGAUGAAAGCGGGGGACCUUCGGGCCUCGCGCUAUCGGGUUGGCCGAUGGCUGAUUAGCUAGUUGGUGGGGUAAAGGCCUACCAAGGCGACGAUCAGUAGCUGGUCUGAGAGGACGACCAGCCACACUGGGACUGAGACACGGCCCAGACUCCUACGGGAGGCAGCAGUGGGGAAUUUUGGACAAUGGGCGAAAGCCUGAUCCAGCAAUGCCGCGUGUGUGAAGAAGGCCUUCGGGUUGUAAAGCACUUUUGUCCGGAAAGAAAUGCAUGGCCCUAAUACGGUCGGGGGAUGACGGUACCGGAAGAAUAAGCACCGGCUAACUACGUG